UACGAGUGCCCCAAGCGUUAUCCGGAAUCAUUGGGCGUAAAGGGUGUGUAGGUGGCGAUGUUAGUCUUCUGUCAAAUUCUUCGGCUUAACCGGGGGUCUGCAGAGGAAACGGCAUUGCUCGAGGAUGCGAGGGGUCUAUGGAACUCAUGGAGUAGGGGUGAAAUCCGUUGAUAUCAUGGGGAACACCAAAAGCGAAGGCAAUAGACUGGCGCAUUCCUGACAACUGAAACACGAAAGGACGU
rnacentral:rRNA from 1 species